AGAGGGAUGCAAACCGUAGAUAUACCGUAUAAAAGAACGUCAAUAGCAAAGACAACUUUUUGGUAUAAACUGACGUUCAGGGACGAAAGCGUGGGUAGCAAACAGGAUUAGAGACCCUGCUGAACAGCGAAGAAAAAG
rnacentral:rRNA from 1 species